rnacentral:rRNA from 1 species
UUCUGGUUGAUCCUGCCGGACCCUACUGCUAUCGGGGUGGGACUAAGACAUGCGAGUCGAGCGUCUCUAGCUAUGUUGAGACGCGGCAGACGGCUCAGUAACACGUGGCUAACCUACCCUCAGGACAGGGACAAACCCGGGAAACUGGGGCUAAUACCAGAUAGGCGAAGAUGCCUGGAAUGGUUUUUCGCUCAAAGGACCUUGGAAACAUGCUUUCAAGUCGCCUGAGGAUGGGGCCGCGUCCGAUCAGGUUGUUGGUGAGGUAACGGCUCACCAAGCCUAUAACCGGUACGGGCCGUGAGAGCGGUAGCCCGGAGAUGGGUACUGAGACAAGGACCCAGGCCCUACGGGGCGCAGCAGUCGCGAAAACUCCGCAAUGCACGAAAGUGUGACGGGGCUACCCCGAGUGCUCUCCGCUGAGGAAAGCUUUUCUCUGGUGUAACAAGCCAGGGGGAAUAAGGAGAGGGCAAGACUGGUGUCAGCCGCCCGCGGUAA